CGCGGGGCGGGGCGGGCGGGCGGCGCUGUCAGCGCGGCGGGCGGCGAGCGGAAUGCAGCGGCCCGAGGCCUGGCCACGUCCGCACCCGGGGGAGGGGGCCGCGGCCGCCGGGAUCGGGGCCCCGGCACCGCCCGCCCGGGCCGGGGAGCCCGCGGAGCCGCGGUUGCAGGAACCUUCCCUCUACACCGUCAAGGCUGUUUUCAUCCUAGAUAAUGACGGACACCGCCUGCUGGCCAAGUAUUAUGAUGACACAUUCCCCUCCAUGAAGGAGCAGAUGGCCUUCGAGAAAAAUGUCUUCAAUAAGACCAACCGGACUGACAGUGAGAUUGCGUUUUUCGGGGGCAUGACCAUCGUCUACAAGAGCAGCAUCGACCUCUUCCUGUACGUGGUGGGCUCAUCCCAGGAGAACGAGUUGAUGCUCAUGUCUGUUCUCACGUGCCUGUAUGAGUCCCUGAACCACGUGUUAAGGAAGAACAUGGAGAAGCGCUGGCUGUUGGAGAACAUGGAUGGAGCCUUCUUGGUGCUGGAUGAGAUUGUGGAUGGCGGCCUAUUCCCGGUGACCUCAUCCCCCCACCCACUCAUGAGGACAGAGGUUAGCGUGAUUCUGGAGAGCGACCCCCAGCAAGUGAUCCAGAAAGUGAACUUUAGGGCAGAUGACGGCGGCCUGACGGAGCAGAGCGUGGCCCAGGUCUCUCUGCACAGACUAAUCCUCACUCUGUGGAGCCUCCUGCCCCGGCACUAACUCCCUCCCGCUGUGGUGGCCGGGCCUGGACGGGUGUGUCACAUCCGUGUGGAGCCCUAGGUCCUCCAGUCCGCCAAGGAACAGAUUAAAUGGUCGUUACUGAAAUGAAGGCCGUGCAUGCGUGCGAGGCUCCCUGCCCCCAGAUAAUCCGCCCAAUCCUGGCAAAAGCUCAGAGCCCUCUCUGUAUGCCCAGGCCCUCCCAGAACCAUCUCCUGAGGUCUCAGGACAGAGACUCUGAAAUAAAAUUUUUUUUAAAAUAUGGCUUUAGCCCCGAGACACCGCUUCUCAUGGUCCUGGCCUGCUCCUGGGGCCUCGAGAACCAGCCGAGUUGAACUCAGACCUCAGGCAGCCCCGAACCCAGAGCCCUAAUAAACCUGCUUUCCUUUCCUGCCA